rnacentral:rRNA from 1 species
GUUAUAGGGUCAAGCGAACAAGUGCAUGUGGUGGAUGCCUUGGCGAUCACAGGCGAUGAAGGACGCGGUAGCCUGCGAAAAGCUACGGGGAGCUGGCAAACAAGCUUUGAUCCGUAGAUGUCCGAAUGGGGAAACCCACUCCUUUUGGAGUAUCCAUGGCUGAAUACAUAGGCCAUGCGAAGCGAACGCGGUGAACUGAAACAUCUAAGUAACCGCAGGAAAAGAAAUCAACCGAGAUUCCCAAAGUAGUGGCGAGCGAAAUGGGAU